rnacentral:rRNA from 1 species
GAAGCACCAGCUUGCUGGUGUGGAUUAGUGGCGAACGGGUGAGUAACACGUGAGCAACCUGCCCCGGACUUUGGGAUAAGCGCUGGAAACGGCGUCUAAUACCGAAUAUGCACCAUGAAGGCAUCUUCAAUGGUGGGAAAGAUUUAUCGGUCCGGGAGGGGCUCGCGGCCUAUCAGCUUGUUGGUGAGGUAAUGGCUCACCAAGGCGUCGACGGGUAGCCGGCCUGAGAGGGUGACCGGCCACACUGGGACUGAGACACGGCCCAGACUCCUACGGGAGGCAGCAGUGGGGAAUAUUGCACAAUGGGCGCAAGCCUGAUGCAGCAACGCCGCGUGGGGGAUGACGGCCUUCGGGUUGUAAACCCCUUUUAGUAGGGAAGAAGCCUUCGGGUGACGGUACCUGCAGAAAAAGCGCCGGCUAACUACGUGCCAGCAGCCGCGGUAAUACGUAGGGCGCAAGCGUUAUCCGGAAUUAUUGGGCGUAAAGAGCUCGUAGGCGGCUUGUCGCGUCUGCUGUGAAAACUGGAGGCUCAACUUCCAGCGUGCAGUGGGUACGGGCAGGCUAGAGUGCGGUAGGGGAGAUUGGAAUUCCUGGUGUAGCGGUGGAAUGCGCAGAUAUCAGGAGGAACACCGAUGGCGAAGGCAGAUCUCUGGGCCGUAACUGACGCUGAGGAGCGAAAGAGUGGGGAGCGAACAGGCUUAGAUACCCUGGUAGUCCACUCCGUAAACGUUGGGAACUAGUUGUGGGGGCCUUUCCACGGUCUCCGUGACGCAGCUAACGCAUUAAG